CAGAGUUGAAUUAGAGGUGGAAGACACUGCAGAGAGAGAUCUUACCUUGCUUAGGGUUGUAACGCCCAAAGUGCCACCACUUGCGGCAAGGAUGUUCUUGUUAUUUGCGUUGGUUGCGGGAAUAGCUUGAUCUUUUCUUGAUGUCAUGUGUGUUUCUUGUGGAUUUGAAGAUAGAGAUAAGAGGCAAAGAGGUUCCACUGGGCGUGCCAAAUUUGUAAUCACGAAAAUUCUGUAACAAAUGAAACGAGAACACGUAUACAAAGUAGAUUUGUAUUGAUGAAUUUAUAGGGUUACAAUCUCUGUUUACAAUUUUCCUCUGAUUCAGUCUUCAAAUUUGAUGUAGAUGCGUAGGUUGUUGAUCAAAGGGUCGCGAUGACUUGAUCUCAGACGAACGAUUGAACAAUUGCUUCAAGUUUUGAGCUUGAAACAAUGCGUGGAUAGUCUUCACCUCUCGGUUUGCAUAUGACCUGUGGCAAAGGUGAUGUUGAUAUGGGAUUUUGUUGAUACAAGGGUCUUGACGCCUUGAUCUUGAAUCUUGAAUCAAAUGUCCUUACAAGUUUUAAGCUUACAACAAAGUCUUGAAGGAAUUGGCAUGAAUGCUUGUAGAUUCUCCAACUGAAUGCUUCGGCUUUGGUAGAAAAAAGCUUCGGCUUUGGUUGUGCGUUCUUCGAAGAGAGCUUUGACAGCGUAUUAGUCUUCAAAGAUUUGGCAGAGGUUAUCCUUUUGUGAGAAUUUUGGCCCUUCAAUGUAGAAAUUGUCGACCUUAUGCUUGUCUUGGGACCUUGUAUUUAUAGACUUCCAAAGCCAUGCCUUUGGGUGAAUUUGGCUUUGAUUUGUGUCUUGAUUCAUCCAUGGGAGAAUUUAGGCAUAUUUUGUGUCUUGUUUCAUCCACUUUCCCUUAUCUUGGCCGAAUUAUAUAGGGCUUGUUGCCUAUUUUGUGCGCAAUCUUCAAUUCUUGCUUGUUUUUGUGAAGAUGCUUUAGCUUUCUUUCCAAUUUGAGAGAUUUUGGACCCUUGCCGAUUUUGAAGGAGAUUACCUCCCUUUUGCCGAGUUUUAGGAAGGUUUUGUACUUCCUUUGCUUGAUUUGUGUCACAUGUUAUUUAUGACUUAUCCAUUUGUGAUGAGUCAUAUGUCAUGUGGAGCUUUGUGAUGCAUUAUUUGUAUGCAAUGAAAUUUACAUGUCUACAGUGGAAGCUCUCUAGUUUUUCUUGCCCCAAUGGCUUUGCCUUGUAACUUUUAUUUUCAUCUUAAAAUAACAUGAAAACAAAAGAAAAGAAAAAGGAUGCCUGGUAAGUUGUGUUAUAUUUAAUUCUUUUUUAAUAGCGGGAUUGAAUAGUAAAGUACUAACUUUUACACUCAAAGUUUGAUUAUUGCAUUCAUCUGAAGUACAAAAAUUGGACGAUAAACUUCUUGUACUAAGAUCUUCACAUGGAAAUAAAUGAUAAACCAUAUAUUGCCAUCCAAAUUUCACAAAUAUAUCGAUCUCACCAAACAAGUGCAGCAAUAUGCGUGGAGUUGAAAAGCACAUGACCAAUUUGGUCGAUUAGUCAAAGUCAUUAGUCGUGAGAGCAAUUCCACCCCUAAAAAAAUACACCAUCAUCUAGCCCAUUUAAUCCACUCAGUGAACAGUGAUAGACACCAAUGAAUAGUAAUAGGUCAAAUGCAUCUCCACCCUAAAAACUAAAUAGCCUAGUCAAUUUUAUUAAAAUAUUAUUAAUUUUUAUUAUAAAAUAAUAAUUUAAUUUUUAAUUUCUAACAUUAUCCCUUCUUUUUCUUCCCACUUUUCACUCUC
rnacentral:lncRNA from 1 species